CCUACGGGUGGCUGCAGUGAGGAAUAUUGGUCAAUGGGCGCGAGCCUGAACCAGCCAAGUCGCGUGAGGGAGGACGGCCCUACGGGUUGUAAACCUCUUUUGCCGGGGAGCAACGGGCGCCACGUGUGUCGUCACUGAUAGUCCCCGGAGAAAAAGCACCGGCUAACUCCGUGCCAGCAGCCGCGGUAAUACGGAGGAUGCGAGCGUUAGCCGGUUUUAGUGGGUUUAAAGGGUGCGUAGGAGGAUCGUUAAGUCAGUGGUAAAAUUGAGGGGCUCAACCCCUGCCGGCCGUUGAAACUGGCGUUCUUGAGUGGGAGAGAAGUAGGCGGAAUGCGUGGUGUAGCGGUGAAAUGAAUAGAUAUCACGCAGAACCCCGAUUGCGAAGGCAGCAUGCCGGCUUCCGACUGACGCUGAAGCACGAAAGCGUGGGGAUCGAACAGGAUUAGAUACCCGUGUAGUC
rnacentral:rRNA from 1 species